UACGGAGGGUGCGAGCGUUGUCCGGAAUCAUUGGGCGUAAAGGGCGCGUAGGUGGCGGGACAAGCGUGCGGUGAAAGCUCGGGGCUCAACCCCGAGUCGGCCGUGCGAACUGUUUUGCUGGAGCACUGUAGAGGCAGGCGGAAUUCCGGGUGUAGCGGUGGAAUGCGUAGAGAUCCGGAAGAACACCGGUGGCGAAGGCGGCCCGCUGGGCAGGAAGGCUCGGCAAGAGCCGGCUGACGCUGAGGCGCGGA
rnacentral:rRNA from 1 species